UUCUAUUUUAAUUGAUAAAACCAGAUUUACAAGAAAAUUUCCUCCUUUUUUUGUAUAGUUAAAGAGAUCUUAAAAGAAAAGAAACAAAAGUUGCCCACAAAAACUUAGAGACGGAUGACAAUAAUUUUCCUCUCUCUAAUGGUGCCGGCUCAUGUUAGUUAACGUGCAAAGGUGAGGUAAUCCAUGGCGAAGGGGAAGGCAAAAUGUAGAGGACGGGCUCAAAUUCUAGAGCAAGGGCAAGGUCGAGGUAGGGGACGACCUUGAAAGGUUCCUCUUGCAACAUUUGUUAGCUCUGUAGAUGUAAAUUAUUUUCUAUGACUCCUCUCUUUACCGAUUGCUGAGAAAUAUUUAUUAUUAGCAUCCCUAAGUUUAAUUCAUCUAGCCCUUGAUUUUUGCUUUGAAGCACUCUGUUCCAUCAAUGACCAUUUCUCAAGGUUAAGGAGUAAGUUUUUCUCUUGGUUGAUCAGUGAGUCAUUGGCCUGUGAUGAUAAUUUCUCCUGAACAUGGACUAGCUCUUGCCUUGCAAAAUUAAUCUUAGUUUUGAUAAACUUGAAGUCAUUAUUGUUGAGCUGUCUCAGUGCAGGCUUUGGCUUUAGCUUCUGUAACUUGUUUCACACAUAUUUCAUUCUAUGAGUAUCCAUUCUAUGCUGCCAUACUCUCCCCACAAUUUGUUCAAAAUACCCAUGUUCAACCCAAACAUUAAAGAACUUGAAUGGAAUCUUUUUUGGGCCCUGAUGAGGCUGCAAAUUUAUGAUCAUUAGAGCAUGAUCUGGGAUUUAAGGCAGCUCAUAAAUAGUCACUACUCAUCCCCAAUUGACCAUCCAUUCAAAGUUGCCAAAGACUUUAUCAAUUCUACUAGUAAUCUUGUCUGAUCCCAUCUGUGUAUUUGACCAAGUAGGAUGAUUCCCCCUGCCAAGUUAAUUCAUGAAGUGUAGUUUGUUGGAUACAGUCAGCAAAAUAUUAUACUUCAGUCAGAGUAAUGGGAAUACCACCUUGCCUAUCCUGUGGGGACAAAAAACUUAUAGCCAACGUUGGGAAAUACCUUAACUUAAGAGUGUUCAAGUCACUCCAUAAUGUCCUCCUUUGCUCUAUAGCAUUGAAACCAUAGAUCACAGAUAUUAAGAAAUGAUACUUGGUUCUAUCUCUCACCAAAUAAUGCACUAGUUGUGCAGUUCUAUGCUGGAGGGUAACCUCAAGCCAAUCAGGAUCCCAUAUGAACCGUAUCUUGCCAUUUACUACCUCCUGGUAGUUUAUAUGAAUAUUCCAACUUGGUGCAAUGUUAUGCAGUCUCUUUAUCAUAUUAUGUUCCUUUAGUCUUGUUUCUACAAUACUAGCUAGCCUUAUCCUUUUAUUUAUGAGGUACUGCUUAAACACUUUCUGCUUAUACCUCUUAUUUAUUCUUCUAAUUCCAAAAUAACUAAGUCAUUAGACUGUUAGGGUUGUUUCACCUCUAUCAAAAGGCAAUGCAGAAACAUUACUUUUCCCCUUAUGUAGUAUCUCAAAUCCAUUUUUGGUAACCACAGUUUGCAGCACAGGAAAAUUUUCAGUAUUAAAUUCUGGACUAGUUGAAGUAGUAGCACUUACUAGGGGAUUUCUAGGAGCAGUUUGUUUCUCCUGCCUUCCUAUGGAGGCACUAACUACAUUCUUCUCAUUUUGUGCCACUUCUUGUACCACAUUUUGGUUUACAAUAUUCUCAUUACCUUGUGGAGCAUUAGGGACACUUGUGUUCUGUACUACUUCUAGGAUAACAAUCCCUUUAGAUUUCCAUUCUUGAGUAACUUAUUUCCCAUGUCUUCUUUUCCUUACUGGUUCAGGUUUUUGAGCAGGUGGCUGCUCCUUGCAUAUAUGUCCCACUUUUUGGCAUUUAGGACAAAAUUCAGGUUUCCACUCAUAUACUACUCUUUAGCAUAUCAUUUAUUCAUUGGGAUCUCGAACCUUAAUAGCAGAGGGAAGGGGUUUUGUGAUAUUCACCUCAAUUAGCAUAUGAGCAUAGCAAAUUCUUGUUUGCUGCAUUGUGCACUCAUCAGCAAACAAGGGUGAACCUAUUGCACUAGAAAUUCUACAUAAUGAUCCAUAUCCCCAACAUUUCAAUGGUAGCUUAGGAAAAUUAACCCAUAGGGGAAUUUCCGACAUGAACUCAGGACUGAGAUCAAAAUCCUUAGACCAGGGCUUUAAAAUUUUGGCUUAUUAUUGAUAGUGUAAGGCCCUGCAUAUAGUACUUUGUGCAUAUCUUCAAUAGUCUGAAAUUUAAUUAUAUAAUACCCAUCAUCAUGAAUAUACAGUACAAGAUCAACAAUAUUUUCCCAAUUUUGGGAGAUAUACCGAGACAUAGCAUUGUAUCUUGGCCGUUCCCCAAAAAAAUAGGCAAUUAAAGUAUAGUUCCAUUUCUCCUCUUCUACUUUCACAUCUUCUUCAACUAAUUGAACUACAGUUUCAUUAACAACUAGAGGAGAAAAAUAAAGCCCGUUUGGAUUGGCUUAUAAGUUGGUCAAACCAGCUUAUAAGCCAUUUUUAACUUAUUUGGGUGUUUGACAAAUAUAAAAAACAGCUUAAAUUAAAUUCUCUGUUGGGUUUUCCUCCUCAUGGUCACUUGGAGUGGGAACACCGAGUUCACUAACUCAGCUGUGUUUUCCUUCUCUGGAGCUUGCACAGUUCCAUUAGCUUCUUUUACCAUAGAUCCACUCACAGAUGUCAGAUCCUCCGGAGUUUUGGGGCUGAGAAUCAGCUUCUUAGCCACCUCAGUUCUACUUGCUGAAGGGUAACCCGCCAUUUCUGUCACUUGAGCAUUUGGAUCUGGAAUCUCUGCACUUUCGGGUUGAUCUUGUGUCAUUGGAGAUCACCUCUCUUACUAGUCUCAAACUUAAAGAACCAGAGGAGAUACAAGAGAAAUUUUUCAACUUUUAUAAAAGUCUGAUGGGAACUGCUGCUGAUUUAUUGCCUGCUAUUAAUAAGCAUACCAUGAGAAAGGGUCCAACAUUGAGUCAGCAACAAAACCUUAGUUUACGUGCUGCAGCGAAUGUUGAGGAGGUGUAUGAUGCAUUGCAGGCUAUUGGUGAUGAUAAGGCACCAAGGUUCGCUGGAAAUGCUUGAUGUUUGGUAACAAAGCACAACCAAAAGCUUGUUUCACAAUGUGGUUGAUAUUGUAGCAAAGAUUGUUAACUGCUGAUAGGCUGAUUAAAUGGGGAAUUGAAGCUUCUCCAAAUUGUAGCCUGUGUCAUCAAGAACUUGAUUCAAAUGAGCACCUCUUUGUGCACUGUCCAGUAGCUAAAAAUGUGUUGAUCAGGGCAUUGAGAAGGAGCAAAUUCCCAGACUGCACUGCUACUAAUUGGGAUGAUUUUGUUCAAUGGGGUACCAGAUAAGGGUAGAGCGCAACCUGCCCAGUUCUUCAAGUUAAUCUUUGCAGAAUGCUGCUACGCAAUCUAGAUAGAGAGGAAUCAGAGAAGAUAUGAGAACAAGAGUAAUGAAGUGGAAGCUUUAGCCAAGGAUGUGGCCUUCAUAUGCACUACCCGAACUCCAAUUG